rnacentral:rRNA from 1 species
ACGAACGCUGGCGGCGUGGAUAAGACAUGCAAGUCGAACGAGAUAUUAUUUGUAGCAAUACAAAUGAUGUCUAGUGGCGCAAGGGUGCGUAACACGUGGGCAAUCUGCCGAGAAAGUGGGGUGAUAGCUCGCCGAAAGGCGAAUUAAUAACCGCAUGUGGUUUAGAGAAGACAUCUUCUCGAUACCAAAGGCCGGGGCAACCUGGCGCUUCUUGAUGAGGCCCGCGGCCUAUCAGCUAGUUGUGGAUGAGGGUAACGGCUCACCAAGGCUAUGACGGUUAGCUGGUCUGAGAGGAACGACCAGCCACACUGGAACUGAGACACGGUCCAGACACCUACGGGUGCAGCAGUCGCGAAUUUUUCUCAAUGGGGGAAACCCUGAAGGAGCGACGCCGCGUGGAGGAUGAAGGUCUUCGGAUUGUAAACUCCUGUCUAUUAGGAACAAUGUGCUAGAUAUUAACUGUGUUUGCAUUGAUAGUACCUGAAGUAAGGAAGAGACGGCUAACUCUGUGCCAGCAGCCGCGGUAAUACAGAGGUCUCAAGCGUUGUUCGGAUUCAUUGGGCGUAAAGGGUGCGUAGGUGGCGCCAUAAGUCAGGUGGGAAAUCUCGGGGCUCAACCCCGAAACUGCACUUGAUACUGUGGUGCUCGAGUACUGGAGAGGAGAUUGGAAUUUACGGUGUAGGCAGUGAAAUGCGUAGAUAUCGUAAGGUAAGGACCAGUGGCGAAGGCGAAUCUCUGGACAGUUUACUGACACUGAGGCACGAAGGCCAGGGGAGGCAAACGGGAUUAGCAUACCCACGGUAGUCCUGGCAGUAACGGUGCGCGUUUGGUGUGGGAGGGAUUCGACCCCCUUCUGUGCCGGAGCUAACGCGUUAAACGCGCCGCCUGGGGGAGUACGGUCGCAAGAUUAAAACUCAAAGAAAUUGACGGGGACCCUGCACAAGCGGUGGAGCAUGUGGUCUAAUUCGACGCAACGCGAAGAACCUUACCUGGGUUAAAUCCGAGUGAAAAAGCGCAGAGAUGCCGUUCCCCCCGCAAGGGGCACAAAGGAAGGUGCUGCAUGGCUGUCGUCAGCUCGUGUCGUGAGAUGUUGGGUUAAGUCCCGCAACGAGCGCAACCCUUACCAUUAGUUACCAGCAUUCAGUUGGGGACUCUAAUGGAACUGCCGGUGAUAAACCGGAGGAAGGUGGGGAUGACGUCAAGUCAUCAUGGCCUUUAUGUCCAGGGCUACACACGUGCUACAAUGGACGGUACAAACCGUAGCAAACCGCGAGGGGGAGCCAAUCGGAUAAAAACCGUUCUCAGUUCGGAUUGUAGUCUGCAACUCGACUACAUGAAGUUGGAAUCGCUAGUAAUCGCGGGAUCAGCACGCCGCGGUGAAUACGUUCCCAGGUCUUGUACACACCGCCCGUCCACGUCACCUGAGUCUGCUGCACCCGAAGUCAGCCGGUAAACUCGCAAGAGAUACAGUUUGCCGAAGGUGUGGCCGGUAAGGGGACG